UAACAACUGAAGCAUGAAAUCGUCAAACAAAACAAAAUAAGACGAAGAGUGAUAAAGUUGCACUUACUGUUUUUAAAGCAUAACAUUUUGCCAAUGGAUUAUUACAAAAAUUAAAUAAUGGCAAGAAAUGGGAUGUGUCUCAGCACGAAUGCUUUUUGAAGGUAAUAUUUCUUGUUUACUUGGGGUUCCAUAAAUUUUUCACAACAACAAUAAAAAAAAUUAGAAUAUAUAUAGACUGAUAGCCUUUCAAGAGGGUAGGAAUACACUUUACUGUCAGUCGUCAAGAAUGGUCAUUUCUUGCUACCGUUAAUAUCAAAUAGUUCAGAUUUUACCAUCAUUUGUCAAAAAUAUUUAUCGUGAUAUGUCAGAGC
rnacentral:lncRNA from 1 species